GUCCCCAUCGUCUAUCGGCUAGGACGUAACCCUUUCAAGGUUAAGAGGCGGGUUCGACUCCCGCUGGGGGCACCA
rnacentral:tRNA from 1 species